rnacentral:rRNA from 1 species
GCUANANUGCAGUCGAGCGGAUGAAGGAGCUUGCUCCUGGAUUCAGCGGCGGACGGGUGAGUAAUGCCUAGGAAUCUGCCUGGUAGUGGGGGACAACGUUUCGAAAGGAACGCUAAUACCGCAUACGUCCUACGGGAGAAAGCAGGGGACCUUCGGGCCUUGCGCUAUCAGAUGAGCCUAGGUCGGAUUAGCUAGUUGGUGAGGUAAUGGCUCACCAAGGCGACGAUCCGUAACUGGUCUGAGAGGAUGAUCAGUCACACUGGAACUGAGACACGGUCCAGACUCCUACGGGAGGCAGCAGUGGGGAAUAUUGGACAAUGGGCGAAAGCCUGAUCCAGCCAUGCCGCGUGUGUGAAGAAGGUCUUCGGAUUGUAAAGCACUUUAAGUUGGGAGGAAGGGUUGUAGAUUAAUACUCUGCAAUUUUGACGUUACCGACAGAAUAAGCACCGGCUAACUCUGUGCCAGCAGCCGCGGUAAUACAGAGGGUGCAAGCGUUAAUCGGAAUUACUGGGCGUAAAGCGCGCGUAGGUGGUUCGUUAAGUUGGAUGUGAAAUCCCCGGGCUCAACCUGGGAACUGCAUUCAAAACUGUCGAGCUAGAGUAUGGUAGAGGGUGGUGGAAUUUCCUGUGUAGCGGUNAA